AGCAGUCGCCGCGGGAAUACGUAGGGUGCGAGCGUUAAUCGGAAUUACUGGGCGUAAAGCGUGCGCAGGCGGUUGUGUAAGACAGGUGUGAAAUCCCCGGGCUUAACCUGGGAACUGCGCUUGUGACUGCACAGCUAGAGUAUGGCAGAGGGGGGUGGAAUUCCACGUGUAGCAGUGAAAUGCGUAGAGAUGUGGAGGAACACCGAUGGCGAAGGCAAUCCCCUGGGCCUGCACUGACGCUCAUGCACGAAAGCGUGGGGAGCAAACAGGAUUAGAUACCCCCGUAGUCCCUGUCUCUUAUAC
rnacentral:rRNA from 1 species